rnacentral:pre_miRNA from 1 species
AAUAAAUCAAUUUUUUAUUUUUUACCUAUAAUUUUUAACUCUUCGUCUUAUUCAAAUUUUUUAUUGGUAUUUUUGUUUUUAUUAGAUGAUAAAUCAUUAAUAGUAUUUUAUGUGUGACUAAUUUUUUUCUAAUUUGAUAAAAAAAAUUUUAAAUAAGAUGGACGGUCAAACGUUGAACACGGAAACCGGAG